ensembl:lncRNA
GAUCUCACUAUUCUAUCUUGUGGAAGAAACUACAGACAUUCCCACAUAUGUAAACUUUAAAGGUUUAGGGCAAUUUUAAUUAACGCAGUCAUUAAUUUUUUUUUUUGUUUGUUUGUUUGUUUAAUUUUUUUAAUUACUUGAAAAUGUUCCUUGAAGUUUAAAGAUAGCGUCAAUAAAAGUUUUAUAUAUUAUAUAAAAUAAUAACAUUAACAUUAUAUCAAUAAUGUUUAUUUUUUUAUUUUUACUUUUUUUUGUUUGCCCACACACAAAAACAAAUAUUUAUAUAAAGUGGAAAAAAAGAUAUUUUUCAGCUCUCGUUCUGGUAGGUAAUGAUUGUUAGAAAUGUUAGACAGACCCAGAUUUAACAAUGCCUAUAAAUGGAACAGAAAAAGAAAGUGUAUCAUGCUCUCUGUCUUAUUCUUGAAAAGGGUGCAAAUGAAAGAAAUCUUGUUGAUGUUGGUGACAACCUGACUAACAUCGCUGUUUUUCAUUCUUUAUAUAUUGGAGAUAAUGGACUAAUACACCAUCAACAAAGGGACCUAUCCAUCUUCUGGGUAUCUUGUGUGCCCGAGACCAUAAAACAGAGAAGCAAACAAAACUUCAUCAGGUUUGCCAGUUGUACCCCUCAGAGAUGGCGUUACCACAUGAGUAUUUACAAUUUUUGGAUAAUGAUCUGGUCAAAACAUCUGCUUUCACCUCCUUUCCACUGAGCAUUUUGUUGAUUCUGUUGGAGGCUUUGAUUGAUAAAGAUUUUUCAUGCCCGUGCAAUGCUGAGCAAAAUGCAACCUUAAUAAAGCUAAUCUUCAUUGCACCAUGUAUUUUUGUUUUUGGUUUAAUGUGUAUUUUGCAGCUAAAUAAAAAUGGACCUACAAGGUCUCGUAGAAAGAUUGGAAAACAUUUCUUGUUUACCCUGAUUCCACCUUUUGUGUGGAUCAUGCUUGUGCUCCUUGAUGGUGAUUAUAUUGCCUGUCAGAAAACAGACUGGAAUGGAGUGUAUGUUUCAGAUGAUCAGCAACAUGUGAAAUGGUGUCAACCCACUGAACCAGUUCCAGGAAAAAAUGAGACCGAACUACAAGCUCUGACUAUCAGCUUUAUCGCCAAAUCACAGACUUCUGGUUUUGUGAUGCUCCUUGUCUUGGGCAUUAUCUUAAUAGUGGUUGUUUUUUGUGUCUACCGCUGCACUGGUGAAGAGCCACCGCAAACAACAGAAGAUAGAGGAGAUUACAUGGGUACUUUUGCUUGCUAUAGAAGUGAAGCAAACCUGCCACUUCAGUUGGAUUUUGAAUAAAUGGCUGUAUCAUAUGAUUCAUCCUGGGUUUUUAAUAUGUAUUUCUACUGUAUUCAUAUAAAUUUUUCAUUUUUAUUAUUAAUCCUUGAAUAUGCAAGACAGUAAAUCAAUAAUCACACAACCAAAACUGUGAUAUUGCUUUUAUAAACAAUUCAGUAAAACAAGUAUGUACAUAAUUAAGAAAGGGUCGAGGAAACUAUUAUAUGUAUGAAAGUUUAAAUGGAUGAUAUGAAAAUUAAACGAUUAUGCAGCAUGAAUUGCAGAUGUAAUACAUAGUGGGGUUUUUUUUUCAAAAUCAGUAAAUACUACACAAUGCCAGUUUAUUUAUUUUUUAAUCAUUUUCUCUAGACACACCUUAAAUUCUUGGCUUUAACUGUUUCCAAUGUUGUUGCAAAUGACAUUCAAGCUGGCAUAUUGAUCCAUUAGCAGGGCUGCAGAUUAUAUGAUAUAGAUAUAAAUGUGUACUGUAUGUGUAAUAACAAAUUAAUUAUCUAGAUGGAUUUACAGCUCUUCUAUGUUUCAUCUUGAUUAUUUGUAUUAAUGUUUUUGUUGUUUUUGAAUUUACCUGUUGGUAAAGAAGAAAUAGAAAUGGCAUAUUUCUGCUUCAAAUAAAUCACUUAAUCCACUUCA